rnacentral:misc_RNA from 1 species
GAUGAAGAACGCAGCGAAAUGCGAUACGUAAUGUGAAUUGCAGAAUUCAGUGAAUCAUCGAGUCUUUGAACGCACAUUGCGCCCCCUGGUAUUCCGGGGGGCAUGCCUGUCCGAGCGUCAUUGCUGCCCUCAAGCACGGCUUUGUGUUGGGCCUCCGUCCUCCUCCCGGGGGACGGGCCCGAAAGGCAGCGGCGGCACCGCGUCCGGUCCUCGAGCGUAUGGGGCUUCGUCACCCGCUCUUGUAGGCCCGGCCGGCGCUUGCCGACACAUCAAUCUUUUUUCCAGGUUGACCUCGGAUCAGGUAGGGAUACCCGCUGAACUUAAGCAUAUCAAUAAGCGGAGGA